rnacentral:misc_RNA from 1 species
CCAAUAGCGUAUAUUAAAGUUGUUGCAGUUAAAAAGCUCGUAGUUGAAUUUCGGGAUUGACGUGACGGUCAUGCCUUAAGGGGUAUGAACUGUUGCUGUUGAUUUCUCACCUUCUGGAGAAACUUGAUGUCCUUUAUUGGGUGUCUUGCGGAUCCAGGACCUUUACCUUGAAAAAAUUAGAGUGUUUAAAGCAGGCAUUUUUGCUCGAAUACAUUAGCAUGGAAUAAUAGAAUAGGACGGCAUGGUUCUAUUUUGUUGGUUUCUAGGAUCACCGUAAUGAUUAAUAGGGAUAGUUGGGGGCAUUAGUAUUCAAUUGUCAGAGGUGAAAUUCUUGGAUUUAUUGAAGACUAACUACUGCGAAAGCAUUUGCCAAGGAUGUUUUCAUUAAUCAAGAACGAAAGUUAGGGGAUCGAAGACGAUCAGAUACCGUCGUAGUCUUAACCAUAAACUAUGCCGACUAGGAAUCAGACGAUGUUAAUUUUUUAAUGACUCGUUUGGCACCUUACA